AUUGAACGCUGGCGGCAGGCCUAACACAUGCAAGUCGAGCGGAGCGGCGGACGGGUGCGUAAUGCCUAGGAAUCUGCCUGGUAGUGGGGGAUAGCGUCCGGAAACGGGCGCUAAUCCCGCAUCCUAUCAGAUGAGCCUAAGUCGGAGUAGCUAGUUGGUGGGGUAAAGGCCUACCAAGGCGACGAUCCGUAACUGGUCUGAGAGGAUGAUCAGUCACACGGGAACUGAGACACGGUCCAGACUCCUACGGGAGGCAGCAGUGGGGAAUAUUCGACAAUGGGCGAAAGCCUGAUGCAGCCAUGCCGCGUGUGUGAAGAAGGUCUUCGGAUUGUAAAGCACUUUAAGUUGGGAGGCGUUACCAACAGAAUAAGCACCGGCUAACUACGUGCCAGCAGCCGCGGUAAUUC
rnacentral:rRNA from 1 species